UACGAAGGGGGCUAGCGUUGCUCGGAAUCACUGGGCGUAAAGCGCACGUAGGCGGCUUUUUAAGUCAGAGGUGAAAUCCUGGAGCUCAACUCCAGAACUGCCUUUGAUACUGAAGAUCUCGAGUCCGGGAGAGGUGAGUGGAACUGCGAGUGUAGAGGUGAAAUUCGUAGAUAUUCGCAAGAACACCAGUGGCGAAGGCGGCUCACUGGCCCGGUACUGACGCUGAGGCACGAAAGCGUGGGGAGCAAACAGG
rnacentral:rRNA from 1 species